rnacentral:rRNA from 1 species
UACGUAGGUGGCGAGCGUUAUCCGGAAUGAUUGGGCGUAAAGGGUGCGUAGGCGGCCUGCUAAGUCUGGAGUGAAAGGUACCGGCUCAACCGGUACAGGCUCUGGAAACUGGCGGGCUAGAGAGCAGGAGAGGGCGGUGGAACUCCAUGUGUAGCGGUGAAAUGCGUAGAUAUAUGGAGGAACACCGGUGGCGAAAGCGGCUCUCUGGCCUGUAACUGACACUGAGGCUCGAAAGCGUGGGGAGCAAACAGG